UACGGAGGGUGCAAGCGUUAUCCGGAUUUACUGGGUUUAAAGGGUGCGUAGGCGGGUCUUUUAAGUCAGUGGUGAAAUCCUCCUGCUCAACGGGAGAACUGCCAUUGAUACUAUUGAUCUUGAAUUCAGUUGAGGUGGGCGGAAUGUGUCGUGUAGCGGUGAAAUGCUUAGAUAUGACACAGAACACCGAUGGCGAAGGCGGCGACCUGGGUAGAUACUGACGCUGAGGCGCGAAAGCGUGGGGGAGCAAACAGG
rnacentral:rRNA from 1 species